CUUUCUCUUUUCUUACCUGAACCUCUGGACUUUCUUGUCUGAAAAGAGAGAGGAAAAAAAAAAAGCUGGCACUCAUUGUUUUGUUUUCUCAAUUUUCUUGUCAACUGACUCAUGAUAAAAGAAUGUCCUUUUCAAUCAAUUUCAAUUCCGCAGAACAGAAAAAUAGAGAAUUUAUAGGCAACUAUUGGAAACAAAGGAACCAUCUGUUUUUUUAAGUAUAAUUUUUCUCUGAAAUCGUUCUCUCCAAAUACUUGGAUCAUUUAUUUUCCCUCACCGCACCACUCUGCAGUGACCCAGAGAACCCCAUUGUCCAACCCAGGCUCUUGGUCUCCUGCUCUGCUGCUGGAUCCCUUUUGUUCCCCAGAACUGGUCUUA
rnacentral:lncRNA from 1 species